GUGUCUUAUGAAUUGGGAUAAGGUUAGCACUCCCUUUGAUAAGGAUGGAAGAUGUCCUAAUGACCUUUACAAUAUACAUACAUUUAAGGAAUUGACACCUACUCUGUGGAAUCUAACCCUGUUUCUUU
ensembl:snRNA